rnacentral:tRNA from 2 species
GCCUGCUUAGCUCAGUGGUUAGAGCACCCGUUUCAUACGCGGGGUGUCACUAGUUCAACUCUAGUAGCAGGCA